GUCAUAUACUAUAUUAAAAUAAUUUGCCUCCUCGUAGUACAGUUAGACAAUGAGAAAAAAUAUUAGAGAUAAUACAAAUGUUUUGAGACUUUUAAUAUAGUUUUACAUAUUUUCAACAAUACAUAAAUGAUAAAUCUAUAUACUAAUUUUUUUGAAAGUAAUUUAUCACUUUUAUUAAUAUCUAUAUAGUGAAUUUGACAUGAUUCAUUUAUUUAUGUAGUGAAACAAUAAUUUUUAUAACUAUAUCACUUACAUUAAAGAUAAUUAAGUCAAAAUAAUAAUUUUAAUAACUAUAUUUUGAUUAAAUUAUAACCUCUAUAUACUAAUAAAAUUAAUUUAGAUCUACGUUAUGAUUUCCUCCAACGAAACGAGUCUUUAUCAUUCGGCGAAGUCCUCAAGUGGAAUUCCGUUAUAUUUUAUUAGUAAACUUCAAUAAAAUUAUUUUAUAUUUACCAACCGAAAGUUUAUUUUUUAGCUGAUUAAAAUUUGUUUUCUUGCCACGUACUUCGACUCAAAUCUCGACACUUAUCGGACAGGUCACCAAUCUUUAGCUUUAAACAGUGAAGCAGAUAUGAUAUUUAUUUUCAAUUUUCUAUUAUUAUCCCAUGACAUAAUAAUAAGGGCAGAAAAUACGCGGUUUCCGAAAAUACCCUCCAUAAGAAAACAAAAGAAUGAGGGAGCAAAUCAGAAAACGCAACACGGUUUGCCGACCCAUCACCUGUCUCCCGCAUGUGGCAUGCUGACAGUGACUUUUCUUGAAUUCUGUGCCAAACUCUUAUCAAUUGCGAGCUCAAGGGUAGUCUCGUCUUUAUGAAAAAAUCGGAGAUAAUUACAUUUUUAAUGCAUUAAUAUGCUAAGUCCGCAUAUGAGGUGACGUUGUAUCCAAACAAACUUACCUGAAAUUCUGAUCCCGCCCACCCCCUUUGUUUACUUUGGCCUCGAGUCGCUCAAUGUUAACUUCAUUCGAAUUUGAUUCGCUUUCGUGGAGUUAAUAUCAGUUUUCUUUUUCUUUUUUUAAUAAAAAAAAUUUGUUGCUUCAAUAGUUGAGUUUCAAGUUUGAAUAUAUAAUGAUUUUAUUUUAUCUCACAAGUUGUAUUUAGCAAUCUCCAACUUUUAUACUAGAAUUCUCUUACCAUUUGUUUGGUGAUUUUUUUUUUUUUCAGGAUAAAAGGUGGGGACGAAAUUUGCAUUAAUUUUGUAAAAUCUUAAACAGUGAAAUCAUAAAUGUCGCGUACCCAAAAAUAUCAAUGAACCAUGAUGUAAUACAAAAUACUGGUACUGAUAUUUCAUACAUAUCUAAAAAUUUAUCAAUUGGAUAUCUUAUUCUUACUCGACAAACGAAUAAGAUUUAGUGGAACCCAUCUGGUGGAAGGGCAUGGCAAUAUAGGCGUAUAAUUGGUGGACUUGCCCUAUUAAUUCAAUUAAUGGCAAAAGUAAAACCAAUUAACAAUUGCCAAUGUGAUUUCCCUAUAUCCUAGCGAUUAGCGCAUUCAUGGAAUUAAAGUAGUAUCAUACUUUGCGGCGUGACUAUGUUGCACUACAUGUAAAUAAUGCCAUUACAUUUUUUUUAUUAGUAAUAAUUUUUUAGUAUAUUUACAAUUUAUAUAUUUUUGGUAUAUGUAUAAUUUAUAUGUUUUUACAAAGUGUAUUGUGAAAUAAUAUUAUUACUAAUAACAAGCAGAACGUGCUAGCGAUAAUGAAAAAUUGUAGAGAUUAUUGCUUGUAAAUGCUGUUUUAGAGUAGGACCUGCUUUAAUAUUUUCAUGAUUGAUAAAUAUUGGAAAUAUAAGAAAAAAAAAAUCUCAAUUCACAUUUUCAAUGGAAUUGAUACCUAGCUACAAAAACAAAAAAAAUCACGAAGCAUAUUAAAUUUCAUAAUUUUUUUUAUCAUUUUGAAGACAAUUGUUGAUAGUCAUAGAUAUCUAAAAUAUGGAUUUUAUAUAGUAAAAUUUCUUUAUAGUGAUAAUCGAUAUAAAAAUAACUUAAAUGUAGUCAUAAAAAAUUAUGAUCUCAAUAGCUAGUUAUAAAUAAAACUAAACUUUAUAUUGUAAUAAGUUAUAAGGAACUUAUUUCUACGUGAUAAUAAUUAUCCGCAUAUUGUAAAAAAUAUAUGCUAUCUUAUAUCGAAUGUUUAAAAUUGAAUAUAAUAUUUUUCUAAAAUUACUUGAAGCAAUGAUUUAUUCUUUAGACUUCUAAAAUUAAUUUGCAUAUUCUCAUCACUGCAGAGAUUUACAUCUCAGUCUUUUA
rnacentral:lncRNA from 1 species